CACCUGUCAGGGUUGCACCUGGAGAGUUUCCAGUACUCUACCAGUUUCAAUUAUGGGAGGGAGAUUCCAGCAGAGGCCUAUCCAUUCCAUUCCUAGCUUGAGCAAUGGCUAGUGAGUAGAAGGCAAUCUGAUACAAGU